UACAGAGGUGGCAAGCGUUGUUCGGAAUUACUGGGCGUAAAGGGCGCGUAGGCGGCCAACUAAGUCGGACGUGAAAUCCCCAGGCUCAACCUGGGAACUGCGUCCGAUACUGGAUGGCUUGAAUCCGGGAGAGGGAUGCAGAAUUCCAGGUGUAGCGGUGAAAUGCGUAGAUAUCUGGAGGAAUACCGGUGGCGAAGGCGGCAUCCUGGACCGGCAUUGACGCUGAGGAGCGAAAGCCAGGGGAGCAAACGGG
rnacentral:rRNA from 1 species